GGGGGAACCAGGGGAGGACAGAAACUGAGGGAGCAAAUGGAGAGACAGGACACCAACUGUUCUGGCUGGAACCCUCAGCAAGCAUGGACUUUCAACCCAGACCUGAAACCUCACUCACUGUGUCCUCUGUCAUGGUGAAUGGCAAGUCACAGGAUUUUCACAUUCCCUAGUGUUUCAUUCCUCCCAAUGAAAUUCCAUAAGCCCUGCCUCAUCCUGGGCUCAGACCAAGAGAAAGCCCCAGGUAUGAGUCUCGGGCACUUGAAGCCAUCCUCUUCCACACUGGUCCCUAGGAAGUGUGGGGAAACUGGCAGAUUCGUGCAUCAUUGGUGGAGGUUUAACUUGGUAUGGCCUUUUUGGGAGAGCAAUACAGCAGUACCAUCAAGACUUUAAUGACACCCUUGACCCAUCAAUGCCACCUCAAAGAAUCCAGCCUGCAGAAUCACUGGCCCAAUCCACAAAGAUGUGUAUGCACAAGGAUACUCAGUGCGGCUCAAGAGGACAAUGAUUACAUCCAUUGUAAUAAUCCAUGCAAUAGCACAGUUUUAAAAAUUAUAACAAUGAUAACACACACACAUUUGUUUUUUAAAAAGCAAGUUAAUAAUGACAUACAGGGAAUAAAGGUAUUAUCCUUUUCUGGGGGAAAAGGGAAAGCAAAUUGGGAGACAGGGUGGGAAGAAGAGGAAAGAGGGAAUAAUGCCCUGGGCUAGUUUAGAAGAUAAGAGCAAAGGCCCUUAAGCUUACUAGGAAGGACCUAAUUUUUGUUGAAGCCUUUCACAUACUAGGCCUUUUGCAUAUAUUAUGUUACUCAUUCCUCAGAAACCCCAGUGAGGUGGGGAUCAUUGUCCCCAAUUUACUGAUGAGGAAAUAGAUGCCCAGUGAGGUUAAUAAGAGUACAGCAUCACACAGAUGGGGUGUGGUACAGUGUUAGCUUUGCCCCUAGAGAGAUCUGACUUUUGUCCUUGGCUCCUGGGAGGUCAUCUCUGAGUCCUUGGUUAUCUCACCUGAUAAGAGUAUCUUUAUCUACCUGGGGGUCUUGGGCAAAACCAGGUAGUCUAUACUAACAAUGAUGGAUGGUGGGGUCUUUGGGCAUGCAUCGGCUCAACCUCCAGAGGGGCUAGAAACUAAGGUCAACCACUUGGAUGGUCAGCCAUGACUACAUGACUGAGCCCCAAUAAAAUCCCUGGACACUAAGGAUUGGAAGAACUUCCCUGAUUAGCAAUAUUUUGCAUGCAGUGUCACACAUUGUUCCUGGGAGACUUUAGCACUGUCCUCAGCUUCAUCAAGAGAGAAUAACUGCGAUCUCUGCACAUGCAACUCUCCUGGACUCUGCUUGACCUGUCUCUUCUUUUGGCUAAUUCUAAUCUGUAUCCUUUUAUUGUAAUAAACCACCAUUAUGAGC
rnacentral:lncRNA from 10 species